rnacentral:rRNA from 1 species
UACGAAGGGGGCUAGCGUUGUUCGGAAUUACUGGGCGUAAAGCGCGCGUAGGCGGUUUUGCAAGCCAGAGGUGAAAUGCCUGAGCUCAACUUAGGAAUUGCCUUUGGGACUGCGAGGCUUUGAGGACUGGAGAGGUGAGUGGAAUUCCCAGUGUAGAGGUGAAAUUCGUAGAUAUUGGGAAGAACACCGGUGGCGAAGGCGGCCAUCUGGACCGCAACUGACGCUGAGGCGCGAAAGCGUGGGGAGCAAACAGG